rnacentral:rRNA from 1 species
GACGAACCGUACGAACGUUAUUCGGAAUUACUGGGCUUAAAGGGUGCGUAGGCUGUGCGGAAAGUUGGGCGUGAAAUACCUCAGCUUAACUGAGGAACUGCGUUCAAAACUACCGUGCUUGAGGGAGACAGAGGUAAGCGGAACUGAGGGUGGAGCGGUGAAAUGCGUUGAUAUCCUCAGGAACACCGGUGGCGAAAGCGGCUUACUGGGUCUCUUUUGACGCUGAUGCACGAAAGCUAGGGUAGCAAACGGG